GGGGACGUAGCUCAGUUGGUAGAGCGCCUGCUUUGCAAGCAGGAGGUCAGGAGUUCGAGACUCCUCGUCUCCACCA
rnacentral:tRNA from 1 species